rnacentral:lncRNA from 1 species
AGGCAGGUGACUUGCCUAGAGUUAUACAGCUAAGGGCAGAGGCAAGACUUAAAACCCAGCAUUCUGACUCCCAAUCCACUGCUUUUCCACUCACAUUGUUCCUCUCUUUCUCCUAGUUGUGGGGUCCCCCCCGGGGAUUUCGUCCUGAGCAGAUCCUGCAGCUCGGUUGGCUCUUAAUAGGUCUAGGAGAUCGGGAACUACAGGAGCUGAUCCUAGUGGACUGGGGAGUACUGAGCACCCUGGGGCAGAUAGAUGGCUGGAGCUCCACUCAGGUAACACCUUUCCUCCUCCCUACCACUUCCCAAACACCCAUCCCACAGACCCAGCCCUGUAGAUCAUCUAAAGUCCAAGGAAUUUUUUCCUGUGACCUUGCCUGGUCAUUCUUUCUAUCUUUUGUUGAUACCCCCUACUAGUGACCUUCAGGACUCUGAUUUAUUCACUCUGAGGCCCUGAACACAAAAUACUGUCUCCUACCUCUUUUCCUGGAGGCCUCCUCUUUUUCUAUCCUUUUCUUUUCUGAGUCCUCGGCCUUCCCCGUGACUCUUUAGGUCUUAAUAGUAACAGAAUGUAACCCAGCAACACCUAUCACUUCCCUGUCCAUUCAUUCUCCAUAACUUUUCUGCUUCCCCUCUGUCCCCAACCCCCACCCCAGCUCCGUGUUGUGGUCUCCAGUUUCCUACGGCAGAGUGGUCGGCAUGUGAGCCACCUGGACUUCAUUCAUCUGACAGCGCUGGGUUAUACGCUCUGUGGACUGCGGCCAGAGGAGCUCCAGCACAUCAGCAGUUGGGAGUUUAGCCAAGCAGCUCUCUUCCUGGGCAGCCUGCAUCUCCAGUGCUCUGAAGAACAACUGGAGGUUCUCGCCCACCUCCUUGUACUGCCUGGUGGCUUUGGCCCAAUCAGUAACUGGGGGCCUGAGAUCUUCACUG